GAAGAGACUUUCAGAGAUGGAUUGGUGCCUUCGGGACUCUGAGACAGGUGCUGCAUGGCUGUCGUCAGCUCGUGUUGUGAAAUGUUGGGUUAAGUCCCGCAACGAGCGCAACCCUUAUCCUUGUUUGCCAGCGAGUAAUGUCGGGAACUCCAGGGAGACUGCCGGUGAUAAACCGGAGGAAGGUGGGGACGACGUCAAGUCAUCAUGGCCCUUACGAGUAGGGCUACACACGUGCUACAAUGGCGCAUACAGAGGGCAGCCAACUUGCGAAAGUGAGCGAAUCCCAAAAAGUGCGUCGUAUUCCGGAUUGGAGUCUGCAACUCGACUCCAUGAAGUCGGAAUCGCUAGUAAUCGUGGAUCAAAAUGCCACGGUGAAUACGUUCCCGGGUCUUGUACACACCGA
rnacentral:rRNA from 1 species